AAAAAAAGUCUAUCGCAAGAAAAGAAAAUUUUCAUGCGCGUUACUUCAUAGUUGGAAUGAAUUCGUUGUGGAAGAACGGACGUUUGUGAUACGGACAGUUUAUUCUUUAAAGCAGAUUGGGAUUCGCGGGAAUUAAGAGGCCGUCCAACACAAACCUGAGCUUAUUCCGAUACAAUAAAAUCAGACCAUGGAAAUCGUUCCAGCCGACGAUGGCAUCCAACACAACGGUCAUAUACGAGCGGUCAUGAAAUCAACCAAAGCCACCUUUAAGGUAACCCAUAAGCAUCGCUAACCGCUUCCGCCGCAAUCUUCACCGAGAUGCUAUGUGACAUGCCAGCCAAAGCCUAGCUGAAACCGCCACUGGAAGCUGCCGCCUGCCCCCUUCCCCACAAGAAAUACGAGUUAAGCUUGAAGUUCCGGCCGGGAAGUGAAGACAUGGGAGAAUCUGAGAACUCAGUGAUCAAAAGAUGGUCCCUCAAGGGCAACGGGAUCAAGUGGAUUCGUAAAAUUUGUGGUAUCUAUGUAGUUAUUUUGAAGUUACUAUAGAAUAAAAAUUCUUCUGGAUUGAGUAUUGUUGAUGUCUGAGCAAUAAAGUUUAGCAUAAAGAUAAGAAAAUGUACGUUUAUGAUAGGGUCGGAAUGCGAAUAUGGUUUGGUGCGUCACCGAAAGACAAUAAAUAAACAAAGCCAAGAGACGACGAAAGAAAUGAUAAACUACCCGUGAUGACGGCGUGGCGGGAAGAUCGGCGUCAGGUCAGGUAAAGACGUUAGGAUCAGGUAAAACUUAGACAUAAGAAAAUCCAUAAUUGUAAGUAGAAAUAGGAAAUAAAAUUAUUACCAUCUCAGCAUCGUUAGAGUAGAGUUCAUUCUUCAUUUGUCAGAAAAGAAAGACCGUCUCUCAUUGAUUUUUGCGAAAUCGGUGUCAUCGUGAGAAGAGUAGGUUUCUUGGUUAAAGAAACAUUUGGUGGCGUUCCAGAGAGGAAUUAAGUGUUUUCCUCACGGUGACCGUUGUGACUAGUUCUUGCUUUGAUAGUGAAAUCCUAAGACACGACGGGUGAUUGGUUUAGGUAAAAGAACGAUAACGGUGAAAGUGCAUUGAGAGUAAUCAAUCAAUUCUCGGAAGUAACCCGAGAAUUAUUUGCAACAAGCAAGAAGUGAAAAGGCUCUUGGACGCGACGAACAGUCGGCCAAGUCAAAUUACAAAGGAGAAAUUCGUGAUUGUGGUGAAAAAGGCUCUUGGACGCGACGGACGGUCGGCCAAGUCAAAUUACAAAGAAGAAAUUGGUGACUGUGGUGAAAAAGGCUCUUGGGCGCGACGGACGGUCGACCAAGUCAAUCCAGCUAGAGACGAGUGGUAGCGAAGUUAGAUCAGAGGGAUGUUCAGGUGAGGCCGAAUUAUCUUUGAACGAUGUUAGUCAAGCUGAAGCUUUGAAGCAACGGUGGAAAAGGGCGCAAAUCUUGACAUCUCACUUUUGGCAACGUUGGAUUAAGGAAUAUUUACCAACCCAAGUUAAAAGAACAAAGUGGCAAGAACUUCAGAAACCCAUUGAAGUCGGUGACGUUGUAGUAAUGGCGGAUGAAAAUCGAAAAGGUU